GUUCAGCCUUAGAAUCGAUCCGUGAGCUGGGUUAAUAGCGUCCUGCGGCAGUUUCUACCCAAUGGUCUCU
rnacentral:rRNA from 1 species